rnacentral:lncRNA from 1 species
GUUGAGGGUCUCCAGGCCUGGAGUUGGCUGGCAGGAGUUGAGCAGGAAGCAGGUGGGCACGCAGGGCUGAGGAAUGUGGCAGGGUGGGGGACAGUUGUCACAGCAGGUGGGCUCCAGUAACCAAACUGUGUGUGGGCAGGUGCUGGGCAGGCAGACUCCACAGCGGCAGGAUUUGUCAGAGGAGCAGAUGGUGGAAGCAGGUGCUGGGCAGGCAGACUCCACAGCGGCAGGAUUUGUCGGAGGAGCAGAUGGUGGUGGCAGGCCCAGUGGGGAC